GACGUAGGGUGCAAGCGUUGUCCGGAUUUAUUGGGCGUAAAGAGUUCGUAGGCGGUUUGUUAAGUCUGGUGUUAAAGACUGGGGCUCAACCCCAGCAUGGCAUUGGAUACUGGCAGGCUAGAGUGUGGUAGAGGUCUCGGGAAUUCCAGGUGUAGCAGUGAAAUGCGUAGAUAUCUGGAGGAACACCGGCGGCGAAAGCGCGAGACUGGGCCAUAACUGACGCUGAGGAACGAAAGCCAGGGGAGCGAAAGGG
rnacentral:rRNA from 1 species